rnacentral:rRNA from 1 species
CAUGCAGUCGACGAUGAACCACUUCGGUGGGGAUUAGUGGCGAACGGGUGAGUAACACGUGGGCAAUCUGCCCUUCACUCUGGGACAAGCCCUGGAAACGGGGUCUAAUACCGGAUAUGAGCCUGGGAGGCAUCUCCUGGGUUGUAAAGCUCCGGCGGUGAAGGAUGAGCCCGCGGCCUAUCAGCUUGUUGGUGAGGUAAUGGCUCACCAAGGCGACGACGGGUAGCCGGCCUGAGAGGGCGACCGGCCACACUGGGACUGAGACACGGCCCAGACUCCUACGGGAGGCAGCAGUGGGGAAUAUUGCACAAUGGGCGAAAGCCUGAUGCAGCGACGCCGCGUGAGGGAUGACGGCCUUCGGGUUGUAAACCUCUUUCAGCAGGGAAGAAGCGAAAGUGACGGUACCUGCAGAAGAAGCGCCGGCUAACUACGUGCCAGCAGCCGCGGUAAUACGUAGGGCGCAAGCGUUGUCCGGAAUUAUUGGGCGUAAAGAGCUCGUAGGCGGCUUGUCACGUCGAUUGUGAAAGCCCGAGGCUUAACCUCGGGUCUGCAGUCGAUACGGGCUAGCUAGAGUGUGGUAGGGGAGAUCGGAAUUCCUGGUGUAGCGGUGAAAUGCGCAGAUAUCAGGAGGAACACCGGUGGCGAAGGCGGAUCUCUGGGCCAUUACUGACGCUGAGGAGCGAAAGCGUGGGGAGCGAACAGGAUUAGAUACCCUGGUAGUCCACGCCGUAAACGGUGGGAACUAGGUGUUGGCGACAUUCCACGUCGUCGGUGCCGCAGCUAACGCAUUAAGUUCCCCGCCUGGGGAGUACGGCCGCAAGGCUAAAACUCAAAGGAAUUGACGGGGCCCGCACAAGCGGCGGAGCAUGUGGCUUAAUUCGACGCAACGCGAAGAACCUUACCAAGGCUUGACAUACACC